UGCCAGCAGCCGCGGUAAUACGGAGGGUGCGAGCGUUAAUCGGAAUUACUGGGCGUAAAGCGCGCGUAGGUGGUUUGCUAAGCAGGAUGUGAAAGCCCCGGGCUUAACCUGGGAACUGCAUCCUGAACUGGCAGACUAGAGUACGAUAGAGGAUAGUGGAAUUUCUGGUGUAGCGGUGAAAUGCGUAGAUAUCAGAAGGAACAUCAGUGGCGAAGGCGACUGUCUGGAUCGAUACUGACACUGAGGUGCGAAAGCGUGGGGAGCAAACAGGAUUAGAUA
rnacentral:rRNA from 1 species